rnacentral:rRNA from 1 species
AGAGUUUGAUUCUGGCUCAGAACGAACGCUGGCGGCGUGGAUUAGGCAUGCAAGUCGAACGGUUCGCUGUUUUCUUUGAAAACAGCGGAUAGUGGCAAACGGGUGAGUAACGCGUAGGUAAUCUGCCUCUGAAAUCGGGAUAACUUUGCGAAAGCGAGGCUAAUACCGAAUAAGACCACGGUCCUCAUGGACUGCGGUCAAAGAUGGCCUCUAUUUAUAAGCUGUCGAUUGGAGAGGAGCCUGCGUCCUAUCAGCUUGUUGGUAGGGUAAUGGCCUACCAAGGCAUUUGACGGGUAGCUGGUCUGAGAGGAUGGUCAGCCAUACUGGGACUGAGACACUGCCCAGACUCCUACGGGAGGCUGCAGUCGAGAAUCUUUAGCAAUGGGGGAAACCCUGACUAUGCGACGCCGCGUGAGCGAUGAAGAUCUUCGGAUUGUAAAGCUCUGUCAGCCCUGAAAAAUAUCUUUACCUAAACAGGGUAAAGGCUUGAUUGUAAGGGCAGAGGAAGCCACGGCUAACUCCGUGCCAGCAGCCGCGGUAAUACGGAGGUGGCAAGCGUUGUUCGGAUUCAUUGGGUGUAAAGGGCAUGUAGGUGUCCCUUCGAGUUCCGAUUGAAAUCCUCCGGCUCAACCGGAGAACGUGUCGGAAUACUGAUGGGAUUGAGUGCAGGAGAGGAGAACGGAAUUCCCGGUGUAAGGGUGAAAUCUGUAGAUAUCGGGAGGAACACCAGUGGCGAAGGCGGUUCUCUGGACUGUUACUGACACUGAAAUGCGAAAGCAAGGGGAGCAAACAGGAUUAGAUACCCUGGUAGUCCUUGCCGUAAACGAUGUUCACUAGGUGUAGGCUCGAAAGAGUCUGUGCCGCAGUUAACACAUUAAGUGAACCACCUGGGGACUACGGCCGCAAGGUUGAAACUCAAAGAAAUUGACGGGGACCCGCACAAGCGGUGGAGCAUGUGGUUUAAUACGACGAUACGCGUGGAACCUUACCAGGACUUGACAUGUUCCUGAAAGCCUUAUGAAAGUAGGGCCCUCCCUUAAAGACAGGUACACAGGUGUUGCAUGGCUGUCGUCAGCUCGUGUCGUGAGAUGUUGGGUUAAGUCCCGCAACGAGCGCAACCAUUGUUCUUAGUUGCUAAUGCCGAUUCGUCGGCAUGCACUCUAGGAAGACUGCCGGUGUUUUAGCAGGAGAAAGGUGGUGACGACGUCAAGUCAGUACGGCCCUUACGUCCUGGGCCACACACGUGCUACAAUGGGGUAUACAAAGAGAAGCGAUACCGCGAGGUGAAGCAAAUCUCAGAAAGUACCCCCCAGUUCAGAUUGGAGGCUGAAAUUCGCCUCCAUGAAGUCGGAAUCGCUAGUAACCGCGCAUCAGCCACGGCGCAGUGAAUACGUUCCCGGGUCUUGUACACACCGCCCGUCAAGUCACCUGAGUCGAGUGCACCCGAAGCCGCUAUACCAACCGCAAGGAGGAAGGCGUCGAAGGUGUGUUCGGUAAGGAGGACUAAGUCGUAACAAGGUG